CUAUCCAUGGCCAGGUUGAAGGUGUGGUAACACACACUGGAGGACCGAACCGACUAGUGUUGCAAAAUUAGCGGAUGAGCUGUGGAUAGGGGUGAAAGGCCAAACAAAUCUGGAGAUAGCUGGUUCUCCCCGAAAACUAUUGAGGUAGUGCCUCGUGUGUCGCUCCAGGGGGUAGAGCACUGUUUUGGCUAGGGGGACAUGGAGUCUUACCAAACCAAGGCAAACUCCGAAUACCUGGAAGCGUGAGCACGGGAGACAGAGCACCGGGUGCUAACGUCCGGACUCAAAAGGGAAACAACCCAGACCGCCGGCUAAGGUCCCAAAUAACAGCUAAGUGGAAAACGAAGUGGAAAGGCCGUGACAACCAGGAAGUUGGCUUAGAAGCAGCCAUCCUUCAAAGAAAGCGUAAUAGCUCACUGGUCGAGUCCUUCUGCGCGGAAGAUGUAACGGGGCUAAGCUGUUAACCGAAGCCGCGGAUGCGCUGGUUAUCCAGUGCGUGGUAGGGGAGCGUUCUGUAAGUCUGCGAAGGCGGUUCGAGAGGACUGCUGGAGAUAUCAGAAGUGCGAAUGCUGACAUGAGUAACGUUAAAGCAGGUGAAAAGCCUGCUCGCCGUAAGCCCAAGGAUUCCUGCUCUACGUUCAUCGGAGCAGGGUGAGUCGGCUCCUAAGGUCAGGCCGAAAGGCGUAGCCGAUGGGAAUCAGGUUAAUAUUCCUGAACCUGCGUCAGAUGCGAUGGGGGGACGGAGCAUGGAAGAUCAUCCGGGUGUUGGAAGUCCCGGUUGUUUAGCGUAGGAGGUCUGCAGGCAAAUCCGCAGACGCAUCUCCAAGGCAAAGACACGUGCCGCCACGGCGGCGAAGUGAUCGGAAGUGCUUCCAAGAAAAGCCUCUAAGCUUCAGUCUGAUGCGGACCGUACCGCAAACCGACACUGGUGGGCGAGCUGAAUAUGCUCAGGCGCUUGAGAGAACUCGGGAGAAGGAACUCGGCAAAUUGACACCGUAACUUCGGAAGAAGGUGUGCCGUAGUACCGUGAGAGGAGAGACACCUUGAGCGGGAAACGGUCUCAGAGAAUAGGUGGCUGCGACUGUUUAUUAAAAACACAGCACUCUGCAAAGUCGAAAGACGACGUAUAGGGUGUGAUGCCUGCCCGGUGCUGGAAGAUUAAUUGAUGGGGUGAGAGCCCUUGAUCGAAGUCCCAGUAAACGGCGGCCGUAACUAUAACGGUCCUAAGGUAGCGAAAUUCCUUGUCGGGUAAGUUCCGACCUGCACGAAUGGCAUAACGAUGGCCACACUGUCUCCUCCCGAGGCUCAGUGAAGUUGAAAUGUUUGUGAUGAUGCAAUCUACCCGCGGCUAGACGGGAAGACCCCAUGAACCUUUACUGCAGCUUUGCAUUGAACUGUGAACCGAUUUGUGUAGGAUAGGUGGGAGGCAGAGAAGAGGCCACGCCAGUGGUCUUGGAGCCGACCUUGAAAUACCACCCUGAUUUGUUUGCGGUUCUAACCACGGACAGUGAUCCUGUCUUGGGACCGUGCAUGGUAGGCAGUUUGACUGGGGCGGUCUCCUCCUAAAGGGUAACGGAGGAGUACGAAGGUACGCUAGGUACGGUCGGAAAUCGUGCUGAUAGUGCAAUGGCAAAAGCGUGCUUGACUGCGAGAGCAACAACUCGAGCAGAUGCGAAAGCAGGUCAUAGUGAUCCGGUGGCUCUGAAUGGAAGGGCCAUCGCUCAACGGAUAAAAGGUACUCUGGGGAUAACAGGCUGAUACCGCCCAAGAGUUCAUAUCGACGGCGGUGUUUGGCACCUCGAUGUCGGCUCAUCUCAUCCUGGGGCUGUAGUCGGUCCCAAGGGUAUGGCUGUUCGCCAUUUAAAGAGGUACGUGAGCUGGGUUUAAAACGUCGUGAGACAGUUUGGUCCCUAUCUGCCGUGGGCGUUGGAAGAUUGACGGGGGCUGCUCCUAGUACGAGAGGACCGGAGUGGACGCACCUCUGGUGUA
rnacentral:rRNA from 1 species